AGGAAAAUAGUUUAAAAAAAAACAUUUGAAUUGCAAUCAAAAUAUAUUAUAAAAUUAAUUUUUCUUA
rnacentral:tRNA from 1 species